rnacentral:rRNA from 1 species
ACGGAGGGUGCGAGCGUUAAUCGGAAUUACUGGGCGUAAAGCGCAUGCAGGUGGUCUGUUAAGUCAGAUGUGAAAGCCCGGGGCUUAACCUCGGAAUCGCAUUUGAAACUGGCAGGCUAGAGUGCUGUAGAGGGGGGUAGAAUUCCAGGUGUAGCGGUGAAAUGCGUAGAGAUCUGGAGGAAUACCGGUGGCGAAGGCGGCCCCCUGGACAGACACUGACACUCAGAUGCGAAAGCGUGGGGAGCAAACAGG